rnacentral:rRNA from 1 species
GGCGGUCUGUUAAGUCAGAUGUGAAAGCCCCGGGCUUAACCUGGGAGUGGCAUUUGAGACUGGCAGGCUAGAGUCUUGUAGAGGGGGGUAGAAUUCCAGGUGUAGCGGUGAAAUGCGUAGAGAUCUGGAGGAAUAUCGGUGGCGAAGGCGGCCCCCUGGACAAAGACUGACGCUCAGAUGCGAAAGCGUGGGUAGCAAACAGGAUUAGAUACCCUGGUAGUCCACGCCGUAAACGAUGUCUACUUGAAGGUUGGGAUCUUGAAUUCUGGCCUUCGGAGCUAACGCGUUAAGUAGACCGCCUGGGGAGUACGGUCGCAAGAUUAAAACUCAAAUGAAUUGACGGGGGCCCGCACAAGCGGUGGAGCAUGUGGUUUAAUUCGAUGCAACGCGAAGAACCUUACCUACUCUUGACAUCCAGAGAAGCCAGCAGAGAUGCAGGUGUGCCUUCGGGAACUCUGAGACGGGUGCUGCAUGGCUGUCGUCAGCUCGUGUUGUGAAAUGUUGGGUUAAGUCCCGCAACGAGCGCAACCCUUAUCCUUGUUUGCCAGCACGUAAUGGUGGGAACUCCAGGGAGACUGCCGGUGAUAAACCGGAGGAAGGUGGGGACGACGUCAAGUCAUCAUGGCCCUUACGAGUAGGGCUACACACGUGCUACAAUGGUGCAUACAGAGGGAAGCAAGAGCGCGAGCUGGAGCGGAUCCCAAAAAGUGCAUCGUAGUCCGGAUUGGAGUCUGCAACUCGACUCCAUGAAGUCGGAAUCGCUAGUAAUCGUGGAUCAGAAUGCCACGGUGAAUACGUUCCCGGGCCUUGUACACACCGCCCGUCAUC